CUCUUCAGCACCGUUCCAGUGAUAUCUGUGGAGGUUUGCCCAACAGAGAAUGAUAUAAUUCAGAAAUUUGCUUUGGGUUGUGAAUACAUGCUGUGGUGUCCAUCACAACUGUCUUCUGUUUGACAUUCCUUUGACAGAAGUUCCCCUGCAGCUGACACCUGCCUGGAAGCACAGUAGGGCAUUUUUGGAGGAAAAAGGAGCACCCCUGGACCUGCAACAUCCACAAUCACUGCUUCUGCCCCCAGCUUCAGCAGAUCUGGCAUUCCCAAAGGACCUCGCGACUAUGCGACCUACCAGUUACGUUCCUUAUUUUUAACCUACUGUUUCCAUUAAGUGUUUGAGUGCAUUUGGACUAGGAUUUCAGGUGCAAUUUCCUUUGAAAACAGUAUGUACCAUUCCUGUCAAACUUUCAAACUGUACCACUUUGAAAGCUGGUGUGUACCAACCAACACAUGGUAGGUAGCAAGAUCUGGAAAAUUGUUACAAAACCAUAUUACUCUGCUAAACUGAAUGAAGCCAAUGAAGUCCACCAGGACCAAUUACACUCAGCCUAACCCAAAAC
rnacentral:lncRNA from 1 species